rnacentral:lncRNA from 1 species
CUGCUUGGGGAGUUAGACAGCCGAGGGCCUUCCAGAGGCACCAGCAGGGGGUGGGGCCAGCUACACCCGCUGAGACAGAGCUCCCCUCCCGCAGCUGCCAGUGCAGAGAGUACAUCUCGGCAGAGGAGCUCUGUGACGCCCAGUGUCUGGCCACGGCCCCCCAGCUCUCCCUGGCCUGGGGGCCCCGCAGAAAGCUGAUCCUUGGCAUGAAGAGCGAGGCUGGGGACAGCGUCCAGAGGGUGAGCGCAGCUCAGGGAGGGGUCGGAAUGGAAGGGCAGCCUCUGCCCACUGGAGUCGGAGCAGGUGGGCCUCCCCAGGCACCUGUGGCUACAGAAAAUCCCAGCACCAGGCUCAAGAAACCAGGCGGCCAAAGGGCAAGCCAUCUGUGAGCCAGCCUUCCCUACCGGUCUUUUGUCGUCGGCCUGAAUUUCCCAUCGCGGGCUGGAGGGAAGGGCAGGGAGGAGGUAGGAGCGGUGUUCCUGUGUCAAUGCCAACCAGCCAGGAUGAAGGUCAGCGGGACCGUGGAAAGCAUCAGCUUCCCUUUAUACAAGUGUGACCUGAGGUCAAGGAACUGGCAAGCACGCUGGGCCCAGACAGGUUCUCCCAGGGUAGCGCCCGGGUCCACCUGGUCCAGUGUGGCCCCCACGGCCUCCUUGGCGUCAUCAUCUCCAGCGCAGACAUGCUCGGCUCCCUCCUUCUUGGUUUGCUCACCAGUUUCUAGAUCCGGGCACGUACGUGUUUCGCGACAACGGGCAGCCCGAGAGCAUGGCCGUGGUGCUGGUGAAGGCGAGGGGGGUGGCCUGUGAGCCAGGCCAGGUCCCUGUGCAGCCCUCCUCCCCCGAUCAGCUCGCCAGGCACGGGGUCCUCAGGCACCGCCUGCCCGACCUGGGCCCAGAUUGGGCAGCCAUCUCAG